CCUACGGGAGGCAGCAGUGGGGAAUCUUGCGCAAUGGGCGAAAGCCUGACGCAGCAACGCCGCGUGCGGGAAGAAGGCUUUCGGGCUGUAAACCGCUUUCAGCAGGAACGAAAAUGACGGUACCUGCAGAAGAAGGAGCGGCCAACUAUGUGCCAGCAGCCGCGGUGAUACAUAGGCUUCAAGCGUUGUCCGGAUUUAUUGGGCGUAAAGAGUUCGUAGGCGGUCGAGUAAGUCGGGUGUGAAAAUUCUGGGCUCAACCCAGAGACGCCACCCGAUACUGCUUGACUUGAGUUCGAUAGGGGAGUGGGGAAUUCCUAGUGUAGCGGUGAAAUGCGCAGAUAUUAGGAGGAACACCGGUGGCGAAGGCGCCACUCUGGAUCGAUACUGACGCUGAGGAACGAAAGCAUGGGUAGCAAACAGGAUUAGAUACCCUGGUAGUCCAUGCCGUAAACGGUGGGCACUAGGUGUGGGUUUCUAUUAACGAAAUCCGCGCCGUCGCUAACGCAUUAAGUGCCCCGCCUGGGGAGUACGGUCGCAAGCUAAAACUCAAAAUGAAUUGACGG
rnacentral:rRNA from 1 species